CCCCGCAUAUUUUCUUUCUCAAAACCCUAAUUAGUGUUUUGUCCGGUUUCAUAUUGUUAUGCUUGGGAGUUUGAAAGGAGAAAUCUCGUGCUUACGGUUUUAGAUUCCGUUCUUCGGCGCAGUUAAUUUCAGGCUUUGCAAAGAAGUUCCGUCCCUUUCUUCUGUGUGUGUUCCAUGAAGAUGCUUCUUUGCUUCAAUCGGUUUAUUUACUGCAGCGAUGGGCUUUGAUCCCUGUUUUAUUCUAAGUUGAAUUAACCUAAUUUGCGAUUUUGAUUUGAUUAUAUUGACUCAAUUUCUUUGUUUGAUGGUUAUGGAGGUGAACUUGUACUAUAAAGCAUGCGUUUGUUCAGUGCUGGAGGUAGCCUCGAUCGAGCAUUGCUUAGUAGAAUACAAGUAAUGAGUUAGCCGGUUAAAAAAAAAUACGGUCGGGGGUUUCAUUUUGAUAUAGUUCAACAAUCCUUGGGUUUCUUUUUAUCCGCAGCUAAAAGGGCAAUGCUAAUUUCACAACGCUAGUAGUCUACCUGACUUGCCGGCAGGAUUAUGCAAAAGAUGAUUGUUACGCUCUUGGCUCGUCAUAAGGGAUUAUUCGUCUAUGAGCAACUUGCUAUUUUUAAUGCCUGGAAAGGGUGAUCUGGCUAGAACCCUGAUCCAAGAUCUGCAACAGAAGCAUAGGUGAGUCAGUCACUUAUGCUUUGCUUAUGCUGGUCGGGUCCGUUAGUACAUAAUACUAUA